GACGAACGCUGGCGGCGUGCUUAACACAUGCAAGUCGAACGAAGUGGCGAACGGGUGAGUAACGCGUAAUAAACCUGCCAUUCAGAGGGGGACAACAGUUGGAAACGACUGCUAAUACCGCAUAAGGAAGGAGGGGAGUGCGGUGGAUUAGCUAGUUGGAGGGGUAACGGCCCACCAAGGCGAUGAUCAGUAGCCGGUCUGAGAGGAUGAUCGGCCACACUGGGAUUGAGACACGGCCCAGACUCCUACGGGAGGCAGCAGUAGGGAAUCUUCGGCAAUGGACGAAAGUCUGACCGAGCAACGCCGCGUGAGUGAAGAAGGUUUUCGGAUCGUAAAACUCUGUUAAUCGGGACGCGGUACCGGAAUAGAAAGCCACGGCUAACUACGUGCCAGCAGCCGCGGUAAUUC
rnacentral:rRNA from 1 species